GGGAUCGUAGCUCAACGGUAGAGCAGGGGACUCAUAAUCCCUUGGUUCCCGGUUCGAAUCCGGGCGGUCCCA
rnacentral:tRNA from 1 species